GAUUGCGUUUGUGGUGAUUUGGCCGGCCGGCUUGCAGCCACGUUAAACAACUUGCUAAAGGGCCGACGGGAUUGCUUC
rnacentral:ncRNA from 2 species